CGAGUAUGUUAGAUAAUCGCUGGUAAUUUUUAUUACGAGAGGAAAGUCCGUGCACCACACAGCAGAAUGCCAGAUAACGUCUGGUGGAGGCGACUCUAAGGAUAGUGCAACAGAGAUAUACCGCUGAACCCCUAACUUAUGCGCUCAACUAUUUCAUGGUAUAAAAUACCAUGAAAUAGUUGAAGUAUAAAGUAGGUGUCAUGCCAAGAAUCUCUAAGAGAAGCGACCGAAAAGGAAGCUUCGAUUAGUAAGAUUCGACGGCGGAAUCCUAAGUAUUUCAAAACUUGAGCACAUAAGUUAGGGGUUCAGUAAGGGUGGAAAGGCGAGGUAAGAGCUCACCAGCAUAUGGGUAACUAUGUGGCUAUGUAAACCCCAUUCGGUGCAAGAUCAGAAUAGGAUACAAACCUAGUAGCUGGCUAGGUCCGGUAGGUAGAUUGCUUGAAUGUAUAGGUGACUAUACAUCUAGAUAGAUGAUUAUCAAAUACAGAACACGGCUUAUAAAUAUGCUCGCAUA
rnacentral:RNase_P_RNA from 1 species